rnacentral:misc_RNA from 1 species
GAUGAAGAACGUAGCGAAAUGCGAUAAGUAAUGUGAAUUGCAGAAUUCAGUGAAUCAUCGAAUCUUUGAACGCACAUUGCGCCCCCUGGUAUUCCGGGGGGCAUGCCUGUCCGAGCGUCAUUACAACCCUCAAGCUCAGCUUGGUGUUGGGCCCCGCCGCCCCGGCGGGCCCUAAAGUCAGUGGCGGUGCCGUCCGGCUCCGAGCGUAGUAAUUCUUCUCGCUCUGGAGGUCCGGUCGUGUGCUCGCCAGCAACCCCCAAUUUUUUUCAGGUUGAUCUCGGAUCAGGUAGGGAUACCCGCUGAACUUAAGCAUAUCAAUAAGCGGAGGA